rnacentral:rRNA from 1 species
UACCAGCUCUCCGAGUGGUAGGGAUGAUUAUUGGGCUUAAAGCGUCCGUAGCCGGCUUAGCAAGUCCCCUGUUAAAUCCACCGAUUUAAUCGUUGGUGUGCGGGGGAUACUGUUCGGCUAGGGGACGGGAGAGGCAGACGGUAUUUUUGGGGUAGGGGUGAAAUCCUAUAAUCCCAGGAAGACCACCAGUGGCGAAGGCUGUCUGCUAGAACGCGCCCGACGGUGAGGGAUGAAAGCUGGGGGAGCGAACCGGAUUAGAUACCCGGGUAGUCCCAGCUGUAAACGAUGCAGGCUAGGUGUUUGGACGGCCACGUGCCGUUCUAGUGCCGCAGGGAAGCCGUUAAGCCUGCCGCCUGGGGAGUACGGCCGCAAGGCUGAAACUUAAAGGAAUUGGCGGGGAGCACCACAAGGGGUGAAGCUUGCGGUUU